rnacentral:rRNA from 1 species
UAUGAACGCUGGCGGCGUGCCUAAUACAUGCAAGUCGAGCGAAUGGGAGGGAGCUUGCUCCCUGAAGUUAGCGGCGGACGGGUGAGUAACACGUGGGCAACCUACCUACAAGAUUGGGAUAACUUCGGGAAACCGGAGCUAAUACCGGGUAAUACAUUGGAUCGCAUGGUUCGAUGUUGAAAGAUGGCUUCGGCUAUCACUUGUAGAUGGGCCCGCGGCGCAUUAGCUAGUUGGUGAGGUAACGGCUCACCAAGGCAACGAUGCGUAGCCGACCUGAGAGGGUGAUCGGCCACACUGGGACUGAGACACGGCCCAGACUCCUACGGGAGGCAGCAGUAGGGAAUCUUCCGCAAUGGACGAAAGUCUGACGGAGCAACGCCGCGUGAGUGAUGAAGGCCUUCGGGUCGUAAAGCUCUGUUGUUAGGGAAGAACAAGUACCGUUUGAAUAAGGCGGUACCUUGACGGUACCUAACCAGAAAGCCACGGCUAACUACGUGCCAGCCGCCGCCGUAA